rnacentral:misc_RNA from 1 species
UUACAUAGUCAAUUGUGAUAAUUCCACUAGAGAGCAGUUGUCUUAUGGUGUUAUGUCUACGUCGUAUAUGACGAGACUUCCCGUUGUACAUAAUGCUCCCUGCCGUACCUAUUGCUGCUUGACUAUCGCAAUGUAUGCAAAUUGGUCCAACAGGUUUGGGCCAUAAUGGAAUAUCCUUUAGGAAUUUCCGGAGCCAUUCUGCUUCUUCACCAGCCUUAUCCAAAGCAAUGAAUUCAG